rnacentral:rRNA from 1 species
AGUGAACGCUGGCGGUAGGCCUAACACAUGCAAGUCGAACGGCAGCACAGUAAGAGCUUGCUCUUACGGGUGGCGAGUGGCGGACGGGUGAGGAAUACAUCGGAAUCUACUUUUUCGUGGGGGAUAACGUAGGGAAACUUACGCUAAUACCGCAUACUACCUACGGGUGAAAGCAGUGGAUCUUCGGACUUUGCGCGAUUGAAUUAGCCAAUGUCGGAUUAGCUAGUUGGCGGGGUAAAGGCCCACCAAGGCGACGAUCCGUAGCUGGUCUGAGAGGAUGAUCAGCCACACUGGAACUGAGACACGGUCCAGACUCCUACGGGAGGCAGCAGUGGGGAAUAUUGGACAAUGGGCGCAAGCCUGAUCCAGCCAUACCGCGUGGGUGAAGAAGGCCUUCGGGUUGUAAAGCCCUUUUGUUGGGAAAGAAAAGCAGCAGGUUAAUACCCCGCUGUUCUGACGGUACCCAAAGAAUAAGCACCGGCUAACUUCGUG